rnacentral:rRNA from 1 species
UACAGAGGUCUCAAGCGUUGUUCGGAAUCACUGGGCGUAAAGGGUGCGUAGGCUGCACGGUAAGUCAGAUGUGAAAUCCCAGGGCUCAACUCUGGAAUUGCAUCCGAUACUGCCGUGCUUGAGGACUGGAGAGGAGUCUGGAAUUCAUGGUGGAGCAGUGAAAUGCGUAGAUAUCAUGAGGAACGCUAGUGGCGUAGGCGAGACUCUGGACAGUUCCUGACGCUGAGGCACGAAGGCCAGGGGAGCAAACGGG